CAUGUUUUGUCGAUUUGAUCUCAUGUUGUCCUGCGUAUUAUAAAAGGUUAAAUCGACGGCAUUUUGGUUAGAUCGACGUGUUGGCGUGUGAGUGGCUAAUUGUAUGUUUGUGUUGGCUGGCUCCCUGCUUGAGCAGUGAACUGUCGGCGCAUACAUAUUUCAGUCGAGACGGAGUUGAGUCUUUUGGAUUUUUGUGCUGCCAACCCAAUCGAUGGAAUUCUUAUUGCCCUGAUGUGUAACUUCGCCGAACACUCCUUGAGGUGCUAGGCGGAAGUUGAAGCUACCCCUUUUUACGCCAUUCUCUCCCUUUUACGGGAACCAUGGGAAACUGGCGGUGUUGCUUGUUGCCUCGGAUGCAGAGCAUGAAGCGAGCAUGUUGCCUGUCAUCAUUGCUCAUUCAGAGCUCUCGAUUGCUCGGAAAGAGAGACCGUCGCGCUUGGUUUUGGCUGUUGAAUUGUCGAUCCAGCUCUUAACCUUGCCGACGUUUUCAAUGAAUGCUACCUGGUGAUCCUGCCAGUAGUCAUAUGCUUG
rnacentral:misc_RNA from 1 species